AUUGAACGCUGGCGGCAUGCUUUACACAUGCAAGUCGAACGGUAACAGGCCGCAAGGUGCUGACGAGUGGCGCACGGGUGAGUAAUGCAUCGGAACGUGCCCAGUCGUGGGGGAUAACUACUCGAAAGAGUAGCUAAUACCGCAUACGAUCUAUGGAUGAAAGCGGGGGACCGUAAGGCCUCGCGCGAUUGGAGCGGCCGAUGUCAGAUUAGGUAGUUGGUGGGGUAAAGGCUCACCAAGCCAACGAUCUGUAGCUGGUCUGAGAGGACGACCAGCCACACUGGGACUGAGACACGGCCCAGACUCCUACGGGAGGCAGCAGUGGGGAAUUUUGGACAAUGGGCGCAAGCCUGAUCCAGCAAUGCCGCGUGCAGGAAGAAGGCCUUCGGGUUGUAAACUGCUUUUGUACGGAACGAAACGGCUCUGGUUAAUACCCGGGGCUAAUGACGGUACCGUAUGAAUAAGCACCGGCUAACUACGUG
rnacentral:rRNA from 1 species